CAAUCUGCCUUUAAGAGGGGGAUAACAGUCGGAAACGGCUGCUAAUACCGCAUAAAGCAUUGAAUUCGCAUGUUUUCGAUGCCAAAGGAGCAAUCCGCUUUUAGAUGAGCUCGCGUCUGAUUAGCUAGUUGGCGGGGUAACGGCCCACCAAGGCGACGAUCAGUAGCCGGACUGAGAGGUUGAACGGCCACAUUGGGACUGAGACACGGCCCAGACUCCUACGGGAGGCAGCAGUGGGGAAUAUUGCGCAAUGGGGGAAACCCUGACGCAGCAACGCCGCGUGAUUGAAGAAGGCCUUCGGGUUGUAAAGAUCUUUAAUCAGGGACGAAAAAUGACGGUACCUGAAGAAUAAGCUCCGGCUAACUACGUGCCAGCAGCCGCGGUAAUACGUAGGGAGCAAGCGUUAUCCGGAUUUACUGGGUGUAAAGGGCGCGCAGGCGGGCCGGCAAGUUGGAAGUGAAAUCCGGGGGCUUAACCCCCGAACUGCUUUCAAAACUGCUGGUCUUGAGUGAUGGAGAGGCAGGCGGAAUUCCGUGGGUAGCGGUGAAAUGCGUAGAUAUACGGAGGAACACCAGUGGCGAAGGCGGCCUGCUGGACAUUAACUGACGCUGAGGCGCGAAAGCGUGAGGAGCAAACAGGAUUAGAUACCCUGGUAGUCCACGCCGUAAACGAUGGAUACUAGGUG
rnacentral:rRNA from 1 species